rnacentral:rRNA from 1 species
AAUCAACGCUGGCGGCGCGCCUAACACAUGCAAGUCGAACGGCAGCACGGGUGCUUGCACCUGGUGGCGAGUGGCGAACGGGUGAGUAACACAUCGGAACGUACCCUAUUGUGGGGGAUAACACAGCGAAAGUUGUGCUAAUACCGCAUAAGACCUGAGGGGGAAAGCAGGGGAUCGCAAGACCUUGCGCGAUAGGAGCGGCCGAUGGCGGAUUAGCUAGUUGGUGGGGUAAAGGCUCACCAAGGCGACGAUCCGUAGCGGGUCUGAGAGGAUGAUCCGCCACACUGGGACUGAGACACGGCCCAGACUCCUACGGGAGGCAGCAGUGGGGAAUUUUGGACAAUGGGGGCAACCCUGAUCCAGCCAUUCCGCGUGGGUGAAGAAGGCCUUCGGGUUGUAAAGCCCUUUCGGCCGGAGCGAAACGGCGGGCUCUAACAGAGUCUGUUAAUGACGGUACCGGCAGAAGAAGCACCGGCUAACUACGUGCCAGCAGCCGCGGUAAUACGUAGGGUGCGAGCGUUAAUCGGAAUUACUGGGCGUAAAGCGU